AUGGUUGUAGAAGUGACCUACUACUUGAAAGUUAAUGAAGCUUUAUUACUUUUCUCCACAUUGGUAACUUCACUUUUCAGAAUAGAGGUGUAUCAUCCACUACUCAUGGGCAUACGUAUUCUUCCUUCUAUUGAUGUUGCCCUGCCCAUUAAAGUGUCUUUUCUGAACAUUGCGGCCGUGCUCCAUGAAUCAGAUACUACUAUCGGCUAUUGUAGUGAUGUACUGUUCAUCUACUACGCCUACAAAAGCGUGAAGUGCAGAUCUUAUACUGAUUUGGUAAAGUUAAACCAUAAAAUGCUUGACCAAUAUCAUAAGCACGACUGUGAAUUCUAA
rnacentral:rRNA from 1 species